rnacentral:lncRNA from 1 species
AAAGCCUUUGACUAAUGACCCCAUCUUCUUCCCUUACACUUAUCACUGCUUUUUCCUCCUCCCUUUUUAGGUUAGAAACAAAACUUGCUAGAGGAAGAAGUGCUCUAUAUCUGAGUACACAAGCUUUUGCAAGCACCAUGAGGACAUGCCACAGUAUCCUGUGAUCCCAGGAAAAUGAAAGUCAUGUGAAGCAGAUAUAGACCAAGUUUACUGAAACUCCAUCUAGAGCAGCCGGUCCUCAACCACAAUACAGACAUGUAAGUGAGAAAUGCUCAUUACGUUUCAUGCUAGAUUCUUGAGGUGUUUGUUAUGAAACAUUUGUCUUUAGCUGACUGAGAUAACAUGAACUCUGUUGAUUGUAGAAUAAUGCCACAAAAUUAAAAGACAAUGAUGGAAAUCACUCUGAGAUCAACAGUAUAAUUUUGGGAUUAGUGUGCAAAAUGCAACUGGAUGCGCUAUUCUGAGGACCAAAUAUACCUCUAUUAGUUAUUGAAAAAGCCUAAAAAUUCCCCUGUAAUACUGAGAUUUAAAACAAAUUUUAACACCAUCUCCACAAAUUCUUCAGAAAUGAGCCUUUUUGGACAUGUGGCCAUGAUGUUAGACAUUCAUUGACCUGGGAGCCUUUGGUCCUGGGACCUGGGAGCCUUUUUGGACAUGUGGGGCCAUGAUGUUAGACAUUCAUUGACCUGGGAGCCUUUGGUCCAAAUUCUACAGGCACUCAGCUUCUGAUAUGAUACUGGACAUGUAAAGUUUUUGGAACAUGUUACCAACACAAACAAAAAAAAUGGAAAAUUUCAACAUUUACUAUUGUAUAGCCUGAAGGACAGAGAAACAUUUUUAGAACACAUUAUAGAAACAAAGGUGGAUAAUAUACUUCAAAUGCAGAGAAAUGCCAUCAGCUAUGUAAGGUUCAGCAGGCUGUGCCAUUGACAUUUUUCAUGGACACAAAACCACGAGAGACCCCAUUGAUCACUGACCUAGAAGGGACACGCAGAAGGACAAAGCAUUGUUAAGAUUCAUAUGAGGAGUAAAAUGUUCAGAUUCAGCAAUUUGUACAAACACCCAUUCCCCUUCCAGCAGGAGGUUGUGCGUGGCUUGCAAUUUUGAGCCAAGAUGGAAGAGGAAGAGGAAAAUUGAAUAAAGUAGAAUGAAUUAAGUUGAUCUGUGUAAAA